rnacentral:rRNA from 1 species
CCUACGGGCGGCUGCAGUGAGGAAUAUUGCACAAUGGGCGAAAGCCUGAUGCAGCGACGCCGCGUGGAGGAUGACGGUCUUCGGAUUGUAAACUCCUGUUAAGUGGGACAAAAUCCUCACCUCUAAUACAGGUGAGGGAUGAUGGUACCAUUAGAGAAAGCACCGGCUAACUUCGUGCCAGCAGCCGCGGUAAUACGAGGGGUGCAAGCGUUAUUCGGAUUUAUUGGGCGUAAAGGGUGCGUAGGUGGUAUGUUAAGUCUGUUGUUAAAUUUUCC